CGCGUAGGUGGUUCGAUCAGUCGGAGGUGAAAGCCCUCGGCUCAACCGAGGAUCCGCGUCCGAUACUGUCGAACUUGAGUGCAGGAGAGGAGAGCGGAAUUCCCAGUGUAGCGGUGAAAUGCGUAGAUAUUGGGAGGAGCACCGGUGGCGAAGGCGGCUCUCUGGACUGCCACUGACACUGAGGCGCGAAAGCUAGGGGAGCAAACGGGAUUAGAUACCCCGGUAGUCCUAGCCGUAAACGAUGGGCACUAGGUGUGGGAGGUAUCGACCCCUUCCGUGCCGCAGCUAACGCACUAAGUGCCCCGCCUGGGGAGUACGGCCGCAAGGUUGAA
rnacentral:rRNA from 1 species